AUGGCGAUCGGCAAGAAGAGCAAGCAGCGCAAUGGCGGCGUCAGCCACUCGGCCUCGUUCCUCCUCGGGGCUCUCCUGCCCACCCUCCUACUCCUCCUCCUCGCGUCCGAUCGGGUCGAGGAGCGACUGACCGGCAUAUUCAUAUCCAGCUUGGGGAAUGGAUCGCCUCAUCAGAUGAUUAGCCACGCCAACCUCUCGAGCGCGGAAAAGGACAUGCAGGAGGAGAGAUUCCCAGGGCUCGCAGAGCUGCUGCCAAAGGUGGCCACCGACGACGGGACGGUGAUCGUAACGUCGGUGAACGAGGCGUGGGCGGCACCGGGCUCCCUCCUCGACCUAUUUCGCGAGAGCUUCAACAACGGCGAGGGGAUCACACACCUCCUCAACCACACCCUCAUCGUGGCCGUUGACCCCGGCGCCAUGUCCCACUGUGAGGCCGUGCACCCUCACUGCUACCUCCUCGAGGUCACGUCCGCCAAUGUCAGCUCCGCCAACGGCUUCUUCACCGAAAGCUACCUUGAGCUCGUCUGGGCCAAGCUCUCCCUCCAGCAGCGCGUCCUCCAGCUUGGCUACAACUAUCUUUUCACUGAUGUGGAUGUUAUGUGGUUGCGUAACCCGUUCCGGCAUAUCAGCCUCUACGCCGACAUGGUCGUCUCCACCGAUCGCUUCAGUGGUGAUGCGGAGGCGCUCACGAACGCACCCAACACCGGCUUCUACUACGUCAAGUCCACGAACCGGACGGUGGAAAUGUUGAGGCGAUGGCGCGUAGCGAGAUCGCGGUUCCCACCGACCCACGACCAAGCGGUCUUCAACGAGAUCAAGGCCGAGCUUGCCGCUGGCGAGCUGGACAUCAAGUUCGUGUUCCUUGAUACGACACUCUUCGAUGGCUUCUGCCAGUUCCAUAGCAAGAUGGACAGAGUGUGCACGAUGCACGCUAACUGCUGUAUCGGGCUCGAGAACAAGGUGCAUGACCUCGGAAACAUGGCUGCCGACUGGAAAAACUACACGAACAAGGUGAUACCAUUGGAGAAGAGGAGUCACGAGUCGAGGUGGACGUUUCCUGCCAAGUGCGAGGCAUCGAUGGGACACCGCUAA
rnacentral:rRNA from 1 species